UCCUCGUGGGUGGGCGACUGGCCCCUAGAUGNAAUGACCGUGUCGGCACGUGAGCGGUGAUGGAUUCGCAUGCCACGGCGGGCUCCCUGCCACUGUGCAGCCAACCGCNGUCGUUGCAGCCCCUUCACUCGUGCUCCAGCCACUCGGAGCCUCCCGCGUUGCCUGUACAACAUACCCGGUUCUCGGGCACAUGANUUCGUCCAACAUGCUCGUCCGCUCCCCUCGCCUUUGUGCGGGCGCGGAGCGGCAAUGUCGGCGGUCCUCGUGCUCCCUCGGACGGACGAUGGCACGGCUUUGGCCCCUCGUCUCGUCCCGAUCGGCCCUCGGGGAUUCGCCAGCGCUCGCGGACACGGUAGACAAUGUUGGCUCGGGGCUUUCGUAGUCCCCGCACCACGAUCGG
rnacentral:misc_RNA from 1 species